CAUCACCGUUGUGUCAACACCGUCGUCCUCCAUCAUCUGCCACUGUCGUCCUCCAUCAUCUGCCACCGUCGUCCUCCGUCAUCUGACACUGCCGUACUUUCAAUCAACACUUUCUUCUUCUUCCUCGUUAACUACAGAUUCCGGCAAAUAAUCCUAUUGGAUCAAUUUUCAGAAUCCGGCCAGCUAGGUUUUUUCUUCUGAAAUUGUAAAUUGUAGAUUCAGGCCAGCUAGGUUUUUUCCUCUGAAAUUAGAAAUUGCACAUUCCGGCCACCGGUGUUUUCUUCCUCCAUCAAUCCGAAACUGUCUUCUUUUUCCAAAUUCUGGCGAAUUUUCCAAUACAAUUGGAAAAUAACAAUGAAGAAGUUAAUUCAAAUGAAAAGCAAGCUGAAUCUAAAUCAAGUAGAUAAGCAGGAGCUACCCCAUAGUAAAUUGUGACCAAAUUGUUGAUGCAGGGCUACAUGAAUCCUGAAUGUUUCAUGACCCAACAAUUGACUGAAAAACUUAUUUCUAUAGCUUCGGAGUUGUGGAAUAAGUGAAGGAAAUGGUGAAUGAAAUUGCGGAAAAAUGUAUGUGGAAGGUCGUGGUGGGGUCAAGAAUGUGAAAGGUCAGGUGUGCAUACGUUUUUGCAGCAUUUGGUUACGUUUGGGAUUGUUACAGAGGAGGAUUUUAGGUUUUAUAGGAAGCUUGUCGUUGGUUCCACUUGGCGUAAAGAGAUGCCUAAACUUGUUGUUUCGCUUGGCCUUGGGGAUCAAAUGCCUGGCUGCUCAUCUCUGCAUAAAUUGUGGUGUCAAUAUGGAGAAGUAUUAUUCUGAUAUAUGUAAAGUAUAUGAUGAUGAUGUAUCCACUCAAUCCUUUGAUACAACUUUCGGCUCAUUUAUUAGUAAUUUUCCAUUGCAGACCUACAAGUAGUGCUACCACUGCGGUGGUUGUGGCAUUUGCAGGUUGCUGUGAACAUUGAAGUUGGACUUGUCCUAGAUGUUCGUUUGAGAGAACUUCGAAUUUAUACCGAUUGUGGUCGUUAAAAUCUUCUACUAUGGACUGUUUAGUAGAGACUAUUAAUAGAAAAAUAAAGAACUAAAAGCUGCAACCAUGAGUAUGCGAAAUUUGGUUAUUCAUAGAAGUUUAAUUUUCUUACCUUUAAUGGUAUACACUCUACAGGAACUUUUUUUAUGUGUCUAUCCUCUCACAGGAAAAUGCAAAACAUGGUGACUAGCAUGACCCUGGUCAAAUGGGUCCUUCGAGUGUACUGAUACUGAAAAAGAGAGCACUCUGAUUUCCAUGACCAUCAAUGGCUUGUGGUCGAGUCAAGCUACCACAUUUUUUCUGCUGCGGUGGUCUUAGGGAUACUAAUGGACCUGAUGAUUCAAGUAGUUGAGGACAUAUAAGCAAAGAUGAGUUCUCCAUACCGUCAAUAGGAGCAAGUGCAACAUGGGGUGUUCUUUUUCACAUAAGGAUCAAAUGUUCAGUUUAUUAAGUCUUGUGGUUCAUUGUUUUUAAGAUCAUAUGCUAUCGUUCAUUGCAUUUAUUGGAUUCAAAGCAUUCUGGCCAAAUAAUAUAGAUAUAAAGUUGUAGUU